rnacentral:tRNA from 1 species
GGGCCCAUAGCUCAACUGGUCAGAGCCACCGGCUCAUAACCGGAAGGUUCCAGGUUCGAGUCCUGGUGGGCCCACCA